GGGAGAGAGGGCAAGAUCACUGCUGUUUCGAUUCGGGCAUGAAGUUUGGUGGCUGGUACUUGAAGAUCGCGGCCGUCUCGGCGCUCAUCGGCGGCUGCAUGGAAGUCUUCAUGAUCCACACUGGCUUCUGUGUAUGAUAAAGUGACAGUUCUCGAAUCAGAGAAGCGAGCCUGGGAGAGCUCUGCUGAAGCUCAAGCUAUCAGAGAUGCUCUAAAUCCUUGGAAGGAUCCUGACAAGAAUACAAAAAAGCCUUCUUAAUUUUAUUUAUUCUCCUGUUUAUCAAAUUGCUUUUUUUUUUAAUUAUUUUAGUGUUAUCACUGAUCAAUUGAGGUAAGGAACAUUGAAGUUGUGAAGGAGAUUUUUGGAUAAUAUUGUUUGCUUCAUCAGUUUGUAUCAUUGACUUUUGUUUUGGUGGUUGUCUUAAAAAAAUUUUUUGAAUGAUUU